GUGGCCUUCUGAUCCUAUGGAGUUGUUGCUGGCCUCUAGGGGCAUGUGCACGCUUCACUAGUCUUUCAACCACCUGUGAACUUUUGAUAGAUCUGUGAAGUCGUCUUUCAAGUCGUCAGACUUGGUUGGCGGGAAUUUAAACUUCCCGGGGGGCCACCCCAUCCAAUUUACUUAACACCCCCCAAGUGUGUGUCCACAAGUGUCUUUUAGUGGCCCGUGUGCCUAUAAACCAUAAUACAUUUUUCAACAAGAGAUCUCGUGUCUCUCGCCUCUAAGAAAAACGCAGCAAAGUGAUAUAAAUAGUGAAAAUUGCAAAUUUCAGUGAAUCAUCAAAUCUUUGAACGCCCCGUGCCCCCCGUGAUAUUCAGAGGGGUGUGUGUGUGAGAGUGUCAAUAAUCUCUCACACUCAUUUUGGUUUUUCCAAUUGUGAUGUUUGGAUUGUUGGGGGCUGCUGGCCUUGACAGGUCGGCUCCUCUUAAUGCAUUAGCAGGACUUCUCAUUGUCUCUGCGCAUGAUGUGAUAUUAUCACUCAUCUAUAGCACGCAUGAAUAGAGUCUAGCUCUCUAAUCGUCGCAAGACAAUUGACAAUUGACCUCAAUCACGUAGACUACCGCUGACUUAAGCAUAUCAUAGCGGAGAGGA
rnacentral:rRNA from 1 species